CCGUAAAUCCACUUCCAGGUUAAGCGGAGGGUCCGGGGGAAGUGGAGACGUCAGUCAAAGCGAUUCCGUUGAGUCCAUGCCGGCUAGAAAAGCCUCGUUGCUAGUACUACGGGUGCCCGUACCGCAAACCGACACUGGUGGGCGGCGGUAAGUACCGUGAGGUGUACGAGAGAACCUUCGUUAAGGAACUCUGCAAUCUAGCUCCGUAACUUCGGGAGAAGGAGCACCCCUGUCGGUGAAGGACUUUGCGUCCGGAGCGGACGGGGGUCGCAGUGAGCCGGCCCAGGCGACUGUUUAACAAAAACACAGGUCUCUGCUAACACGUAAGUGGAUGUAUAGGGGCUGACACCUGCCCAGUGCCGGAAGGUUAAGGGGAGGGCUGAGAGGCCUGAACCGAAGCCCCGGUGAACGGCGGCCGUAACUAUAACGGUCCUAAGGUAGCGAAAUUCCUUGUCGGGUAAGUUCCGACCCACACGAAUGGUGUAACGAUCUGGGCGCUGUCUCAACGAAGGACUCGGCGAAAUUGAAUUGGCCGUGAAGAUGCGGCCUACCCGCAGCCGGACAAAAAGACCCCGUGGAGCUUUACUGUAGCUUGGCGCUGGAGGCCGGGCCUAGAUGCGUAGGAUAGGUGGGAGGCUGUGAACCGUCACUUUUGGGUGGCGGGGAGCCAACGGUGAAAUACCACUCUUCUAUGUUUGUCCUCCUAACCUGCGAGCAAGCGUGGGGACAGUGCCUGGUAGGCAGUUUGACUGGGGCGGUCGCCUCCCAAAAGGUAACGGAGGCGCGCAAUGGUCCCCUCAGGGUGGAUGGCAAUCACCCGUCGCGUGCAUUGGCAUAAGGGGGCUUGACUGCGAGACAUACACGUCGAGCAGGGACGAAAGUCGGCCAAAGUGAUCCUACGGUCCCGUGUGGAAGGGCCGUGGCUUAUCGGAUAAAAGCUACCCCGGGGAUAACAGGCUGAUCCUGCCCAAGAGUUCACAUCGACGGCAGGGUUUGGCACCUCGAUGUCGGCUCGUCGCAUCCUGGGGCUGAAUCAGGUCCCAAGGGUUGGGCUGUUCGCCCAUUAAAGCGGUACGCGAGCUGGGUUCAGAACGUCGUGAGACAGUUCGGUCUCUAUCCGCUGUGGGCGCAGGAGGCUUGAGGAGAGCUGCCCCUAGUACGAGAGGACCGGGGUGGACGGACCUCUGGUGUGCCGGUUGUCCUGCCAAGGGCAUUGCCGGGUAGCCAAGUCCGGAACGGAUAAGUGCUGAAAGCAUCUAAGCACGAAGCCGCCUCCAAGAUGAGGCCUCCCACUGGGUUAACCAGGUAAGACCGCGGGAAGACUACCCGUUUGAUAGGCCAGAGGUGGAAGUGCAGCAAUGCAUGCAGCUGACUGGUACUAAUGGUCGAGGGCUUGACC
rnacentral:rRNA from 1 species